AGUGAACGCUGGCGGUAGGCCUAACACAUGCAAGUCGAACGGCAGCACAGUAAGAGCUUGCUCUUACGGGUGGCGAGUGGCGGACGGGUGAGGAAUACAUCGGAAUCUACUUUUUCGUGGGGGAUAACGUAGGGAAACUUACGCUAAUACCGCAUACGACCUACGGGUGAAAGCAGGGGAUCUUCGGACCUUGCGCGAUUGAAUGAGCCGAUGUCGGAUUAGCUAGUUGGCGGGGUAAAGGCCCACCAAGGCGACGAUCCGUAGCUGGUCUGAGAGGAUGAUCAGCCACACUGGAACUGAGACACGGUCCAGACUCCUACGGGAGGCAGCAGUGGGGAAUAUUGGACAAUGGGCGCAAGCCUGAUCCAGCCAUACCGCGUGGGUGAAGAAGGCCUUCGGGUUGUAAAGCACUUUUGUUGGGAAAGAAAAGCAGAAGGUUAAUACCCCGCUGUUCUGACGGUACCCAAAGAAUAAGCACCGGCUAACUUCGUG
rnacentral:rRNA from 1 species